GGCUGGUCUGAUGGUAGUGGGUUAUCAGAACUUAUUAGUAUCGCUAAAGUUGGUAUACAACCCCCCCACUGCUAAAUUUGACUAGCUUAAA
rnacentral:Y_RNA from 1 species